CGAACGGGUGAGUAAUGCGUGACCAACCUGCCCCAUGCUCCAGAAUAGCUCUUGGAAACGGGUGGUAAUGCUGGAUGCUCCGACUUGACGCAUGUCUUGUUGGGAAAGUGUUUAGUGGCAUGGGAUGGGGUCGCGUCCUAUCAGCUUGUAGGCGGGGUAAUGGCCCACCUAGGCUUCGACGGGUAGCCGGCCUGAGAGGGCGGACGGCCACAUUUGGGACUGAGAUACGGCCCAGACUCCUACGGGAGGCAGCAGCG
rnacentral:rRNA from 1 species